rnacentral:rRNA from 1 species
AGCGCAUACGGUGGAUGCCUAGGCGGUAGAAGGCGAUGAAGGACGUAGUAGCUUGCGAAAAGCCUCGGGGAGUUGGCAAACAAACUUUGAUCCGGGGAUAUCCGAAUGGGGAAACCCACCUGUCGCAAGACAGGUAUUCUGCACUGAAUACAUAGGUACAGAAGGCAAACUCGGGGAACUGAAACAUCUAAGUACCCGAAGGAACAGAAAUCAACCGAUAUUCCCUCAGUAGCGGCGAGCGAACAGGGAACAGCCCUUAAAUUCUAAAUUUACUAGUGGAAUGAACUGGAAAGUUCAGCAAUACAGGGUGACAGCCCCGUACAUGAAAGCAAAUUUAGGGUGAAAUCGAGUAAGGCGGGACACGCGAAAUCUUGCCCGAACAUGGGGGGACCAUCCUCCAAGGCUAAAUACUCUCUACCGACCGAUAGUGAACUAGUACCGUGAGGGAAAGGCGAAAAGAACCCCCACAAGGGAGUGAAAUAGAACCUGAAACCGUAUGCGUACAAGCAGUCGGAGCCUGCGUUUUAGCGGGUGACGGCGUACCUUUUGUAUAAUGGGUCAGCGACUUACUUCUCAGUGGCAAGCUUAACCAAAUAGGGGAGGCGUAGGGAAACCGAGUCUUAACAGGGCGAUCAAGUCGCUGGGAGUAGACCCGAAACUGGGCGAUCUACCCAUGGCCAGGCUGAAGGUAGGGUAAUACCUACUGAAGGGCCGAACCGGGAUCUGUUGAAAAAGAUUCGGAUGAGCUGUGGGUCGGAGUGAAAGGCUAAUCAAGCCCAGAGAUAGCUGGUUCUCCCCGAAAGCUAUUUAGGUAGUGCCUCGUGACUUACCUUAGGGGGUAGAGCACUGUUUCGGCUAGGGGGUCAUCCCGACUUACCAAACCGAUGCAAACUCCGAAUACCUAAGAGUAUUAUCACGGGAGACACACAGCGGGUGCUAACGUCCGUUGUGGAAAGGGAAACAACCCAGACCGCCAGCUAAGGUCCCCAAAUCAGAUUUCAGUGGGAAACGAUGUGGGAAGGCACAGACAGCCAGGAGGUUGGCUUAGAAGCAGCCAUCCUUUAAAGAAAGCGUAAUAGCUCACUGGUCGAGUCAGCCUGCGCGGAAGAUUUAACGGGGCUAAAAUCUGUACCGAAGCUGCGGAUGUGUCUUGAGACACAUGGUAGGGGAGCGUUCCGUACGCCCAUGAAGGUGGACUGUGAAAUCCGCUGGAGGUAUCGGAAGUGCGAAUGCUGACAUGAGUAACGAAAAAGGAGAAAAGAAACCUCCUCGCCGAAAGUCCAAGGUUUCCUACACAACGUUAAUCGAUGUAGGGUUAGUCGGCCCCUAAGAUAAGGCCGAAAGGCGUAGUCGAUGGGAAGCAGGUUAACAUUCCUGCACCAUACAUGAUUGCGAUGGGGGGACGGAGAAGGCUAGAUUAUCCAGGUGUUGGUCAUCCUGGUUCAAGCACGUAGACAGACAUUCUAGGCAAAUCCGGAGUGUUAAUGUUGAGAUGUUAACAGGUAACCCCUCCAUGGAGGGGCCAACUAAUCAAUGCCAUGCUUCCAAGAAAAGCCUCUAAGCUUCAGAUUAUGUAUGACCGUACCCUAAACCGACACAGGUGGACUGGGAGAGAAUCCUAAGGCGCUUGAGAAAACUCGGGUGAAGGAACUCGGCAAAAUAGUACCGUAACUUCGGGAGAAGGUACGCCCCCAAUAUGUGAAACGGUUUACCCGUGAAGAGCAGAAGGGGGUUGCAGUAACCAGGUGGCUGCGACUGUUUAUUAAAAACACAGCACUCUGCAAACACGUAAGUGGACGUAUAGGGUGUGACGCCUGCCCGGUGCCGGAAGGUUAAUUGAUGGGGUUAGCCGCAAGGCAAAGCUCUUGAUCGAAGCCCCGGUAAACGGCGGCCGUAACUAUGACGGUCCUAAGGUAGCGAAAUUCCUUGUCGGGUAAGUUCCGACCUGCACGAAUGGCGUAACGAUGGCCACACUGUCUCCACCCGAGACUCAGUGAAAUUGAACUUGCUGUUAAGAUGCAGUAUACCUGCGGCUAGACGGAAAGACCCCGUGAACCUUUACUAUAGCUUUGCACUGGAUUUUGAACCUGCUUGUGUAGGAUAGGUGGGAGGCUGUGAAAUUAGUACGCCAGUACUAAUGGAGCCAUCCUUGAAAUACCACCCUGGCAUGUUUGAAGUUCUAACCUAGACCCGUUACCCGGGCCGGGGACAGUGUAUGGUAGGUAGUUUGACUGGGGCGGUCUCCUCCAAAAGAGUAACGGAGGAGCACGAAGGUACCCUCAGCGCGGUCGGAAAUCGCGCAUUGAGUGCAAAGGCAUAAGGGUGCUUGACUGUGAGACGAACAGGUCGAACAGGGUCGAAAGACGGUCUUAGUGAUCCGGUGGUUCUGAAUGGAAGGGCCAUCGCUCAACGGAUAAAAGGUACUCCGGGGAUAACAGGCUGAUACCGCCCAAGAGUUCAUAUCGACGGCGGUGUUUGGCACCUCGAUGUCGGCUCAUCACAUCCUGGGGCUGAAGUCGGUCCCAAGGGUAUGGCUGUUCGCCAUUUAAAGUGGUACGCGAGCUGGGUUUAGAACGUCGUGAGACAGUUCGGUCCCUAUCUGCCGUGGGCGUUGGAGACUUGAGGGAAGCUGUUCCUAGUACGAGAGGACCGGAAUGGACGUACCUCUGGUGUUCCGGUUGUCACGCCAGUGGCAAUGCCGGGUAGCUAUGUACGGAAGGGAUAACCGCUGAAAGCAUCUAAGCGGGAAGCCCCUCCCAAGAUUAGGUCUCCCAGGGCACUCGAUGUCCCUUAAGGUCCGUUGA